GUGGGGAAUAUUGGACAAUGGGCGAAAGCCUGAUCCAGCCAUGCCGCGUGUGUGAAGAAGGUCUUCGGAUUGUAAAGCACUUUAAGUUGGGAGGAAGGGCAGUAAGUUAAUACCUUGCUGUUUUGACGUUACCAACAGAAUAAGCACCGGCUAACUUCGUGCCAGCAGCCGCGGUAAUACGAAGGGUGCAAGCGUUAAUCGGAAUUACUGGGCGUAAAGCGCGCGUAGGUGGUUCAGCAAGUUGAAGGUGAAAUCCCCGGGCUCAACCUGGGAACUGCCUCCAAAACUGCAUGACUAGAGUACGGUAGAGGGUAGUGGAAUUUCCUGUGUAGCGGUGAAAUGCGUAGAUAUAGGAAGGAACACCAGUGGCGAAGGCGACUACCUGGACUGAUACUGACACUGAGGUGCGAAAGCGUGGGGAGCAAACAGGAUUAGAAACCCUGGUAGUCC
rnacentral:rRNA from 1 species